GAUGAACGCUAGCUACAGGCUUAACACAUGCAAGUCGAGGGACCGGCGCACGGGUGAGUAACCCGUAUCCAACCUGCCCUUUACUCGGGGAUAGCCUUUCGAAAGAAAGAUUACUACCCGAUAAAAAGGAUGGGGAUGCGUUCCAUUAGGUUGUUGGUGAGGUAACGGCUAACCAAGCCUUCGAUGGAUAGGGGUGCGGGGAGGAAGGUCCCCCACAAUGGAACUGAGACACGGUCCAAAAUCCUACGGGAGGCAGCAGUGAGGAAUACUGGUCAAUGGGCGUUAGCCUGAACCAGCCAAGUAGCGUGAAGGAGGAAGGCUUAUGGGUCGUAAACUUCUUUUAUAUAAGAAUAUGUAUUAUAUGAAUAAGGAUCGGCUAACUCCGUGCCAGCAGCCGCGGUAAUAC
rnacentral:rRNA from 1 species